UACGUAGGGGCAAGCGUUGUCCGGAAUUAUUGGGCGUAAAGAGCUCGUAGGCGGUUUGUCGCGUCUGCCGUGAAAGUCCGGGGCUCAACUCCGAUCUGCGGUGGGUACGGGCAGACUAGAGUGAUGUAGGGGAGACUGGAAUUCCUGGUGUAGCGGUGAAAUGCGCAGAUAGUCAGAGGAACACCGAUGGCGAAGGCAGGUCUCUGGCCGAUACUGACACUGAGGAGCGAAAGCCAGGGAGCAAACGGG
rnacentral:rRNA from 1 species